rnacentral:rRNA from 1 species
UGGGCGUAAGAGCUCGUAGGCGGCUUGUCACGUCGGGUGUGAAAGCCCGGGGCUUAACCCCGGGUCUGCAUUCGAUACGGGCUAGCUAGAGUGUGGUAGGGGAGAUCGGAAUUCCUGGUGUAGCGGUGAAAUGCGCAGAUAUCAGGAGGAACACCGGUGGCGAAGGCGGAUCUCUGGGCCAUUACUGACGCUGAGGAGCGAAAGCGUGGGGAGCGAACAGGAUUAGAUACCCUGGUAGUCCACGCCGUAAACGGUGGGAACUAGGUGUUGGCGACAUUCCACGUCGUCGGUGCCGCAGCUAACGCAUUAAGUUCCCCGCCUGGGGAGUACGGCCGCAAGGCUAAAACUC